rnacentral:rRNA from 1 species
AAGGGCACCACAAGAACGCGUGGAGCAUGUGGCUUAAUUUGACUCAACGCGGGAAAUCUUACCGGGUCCGGACACACUGAGGAUUGACAGGCGUUUGUGGUUUGGUUAGUAUUUCGACUUCGGUUGUUUGCUGCCUUUCCACUAUAAAUAUGCUAGUCCUUUCAUGAUUGUGUGAUAGGUGGUGCAUGGCCGUUCUUAGUUCGUGGAGUGAUCUGUCUGCUUAAUUGCGUUUCACAAAGAACUCUUUAACUUUUACCUGUUGCGCGGCAUUGUGUCCUCGUGGCGCGGUGUCUGUGCACGGUAAAGAAAAAGUUCUGAAGGCAACGAACGUGACCGCAACCUCUUGUUGCCUCCUUUUUUUAUAAACAUGAGAUAGUAUCUUUUGUUCUGCCCUUCGCGGGGCGGUCUUAGUGCUGUCUCUGCAUGGAGUGCUAACUAGAGGGACCGCUGACAACUUUUAAAACAGAGGAAGGUUGCGGCAAUAACAGGUCUGUGAUGCCCUUAGAUGUUCCGGGCUGCACACGUGCUACAAUGAUUAUUGCAGUGAGCAUCUAACUAAAAAAAGCUUGAGUUUGUGUUUGGUGGUCUCUGAUUACCUUACAUAACUCGGCUACUGACCUGCUUCGAAAGUAAGCAGGUAAUCAAUUCGAAGUAAUGAUUUCCUUUCGCACAUACUUAUAUCUCUUGCUUGCAGGCUAGCCAUGUCCUUGUGGCGUGGUUUUGUUUCUGCCUUGAGAUAUGUGCUCCAUUAAUUCAUGGUGGGGACAGACCAUUGUUAAUUGUUGGUCUCGGUCUCAACUAGGAAUGCCUUGUACGGGUCUUUGGUUCAACAAACCACCCGGAAUAUGUCCCUGCCCUUUGUACACACCGCCCGUC